UUCAACAAAAAAAUUUUCUCA
ensembl:piRNA 21ur-7187 ncRNA